rnacentral:rRNA from 1 species
AAACAUGAGAGUUUGAUCCUGGCUCAGGACGAACGCUGGCGGCGUGCCUAAUACAUGCAAGUCGAACGCUUAAGUCUACACCGAGCUUGCUUGGCGUAGAACUUAAGAGUGGCGAACGGGUGAGUAACACGUGGGAAACCUACCCUAAAGCGGGGUACAACACUUGGAAACAGGUGCUAAUACCGCAUAACACUAAAAAUCGCAUGAAAUUUAGUUAAAAGAUGCAAUCGCAUCACUUUAGGACGGUCCCGCGGUGCAUUAGCUAGUUGGUAAGGUAGCUGCUUACCAAGGCCAUGAUGCAUAGCUGAGUUGAGAGACUGAUCGGCCACAUUGGGACUGAGAUACGGCCCAAACUCUUA